GUGCUCGCUUAGGCAGCACAUAGACUAAAAUUGGAACAAUAGAGAAAAGAUUAGCAUGGCCCCUGCACAAGGAUGACAUGCAAAUUCAUGAAGCGUUCCAUAUUUUU
rnacentral:snRNA from 1 species